rnacentral:rRNA from 1 species
ACUCCUACGGGAGGCAGCAGUGGGGAAUAUUGCACAAUGGGCGCAAGCCUGAUGCAGCCAUGCCGCGUGUAUGAAGAAGGCCUUCGGGUUGUAAAGUACUUUCAGCAGUGAGGAAGGCGGGUACGUUAAUAGCGUGCUCGUUUUGACGUAGCUGCAGAAAGAAGCACCGGGCUAACUCCGUGCCAGCAGCCGCGGUAAUACGGAGGGUGCGAGCGUUAAUCGGAAUUACUGGGCGUAAAGCGCAUGCAGGUGGUUUGUUAAGUCAGAUGUGAAAGCCCGGGGCUCAACCUCGGAAUUGCAUUUGAAACUGGCAGACUAGAGUACUGUAGAGGGGGGUAGAAUUUCAGGUGUAGCGGUGAAAUGCGUAGAGAUCUGAAGGAAUACCGGUGGCGAAGGCGGCCCCCUGGACAGAUACUGACACUCAGAUGCGAAAGCGUGGGAGCAAACAGGAUUAGAUACCCUGGUAGGUGA